CGGCGUUGUCCCUCGUCCCCAGGGUGGCAUCGGUGUCCCUCGUCCCCGUGGCAGCGUUGUCCCCGGUCCCCGCGGUCCCCACGGCCUUGACCCUCGUCCCCAGGGUGGCAUCGGUGUCCUGCGGUCCCCAUGGCCUUGUCCCUCGUCCCCACAGUGGCAUCGGUGUCCUGCGGUCCCCAUGGCGGCGUUGUCCCUCAUCCCUGCGGUCCCCACGGCCUUGUUCUUCGUCCCCACAGUGACAUCGGUGUCCUGUGGUCCCCAUGGUGGCGUUGUCCCUCAUCCCUGUGGUCCCCAUGGCCUUGUCCCUCGUCCCCGCGGUCCCUGCGGUGUUGUCCCUUGUCCCCACGGUGGCAUCGGUGUCCUGCGGUCCCCGUGGCGGCGUUGUCCCUCGUCCCCGCAGUCCCCAUGGUGGCAUUGGUGUCCCUUGUCCCCACGGUGGCAUUGGUGUCCUGCGGUCCCCAUGGCGGCGUUGUCCCUCGUCCCUGCGGUCCCCGUGGCGGCGUUGUCUCUCGUCCCCGCGGUCCCCACGGUGGCGUUGGUGUCCCUUGUCCCCACGGUGGCAUUGGUGUCCUGCGGUCCCCGUGGUGGCGUUGUCCCUCGUCCCCGCGGUCCCCACGGUGGCAUUGGUGUCCCUUGUCCCCACGGUGGCAUCGGUGUCCUGCGGUCCCCGUGGCGGCGGCGUUAUCCCCGGUCCCCGCGGCGGCGGCACCGUUGUCCCCGGUCGCCGCGGUGGCUGACGCGGGGCUCGGGGACGCCGCCGGUGCCGGUGCCGGUGACGACGGCAGGCUGCUGGUGGGGGGCACGCGGCUGCGCGACCCCCC
rnacentral:lncRNA from 1 species